UAAGUCUGUAGUGAAAGCGUGGGGCUCAACCUCAUAUACAUUAUGGAAACUGCUAAGCUAGAGGGCGAGAGAGGUAACUAGAAUUCCUUGUGUAGGAGUGAAAUCCGUAGAUAUAAGGAGGAAUACCGACGGCGUAGGCAGGUUACUGGCUCGUCCCUGACACUAAGGCACGAAAGCGUGGGGAGCAAACGGGAUUAGAUACCCCGGUAGUCCACGCCGUAAACGAUGGAUGCUA
rnacentral:rRNA from 1 species